GACGAACGCUGGCGGCGUGCUUAACACAUGCAAGUCGAACGGAAAGGCUCUGCUUUUGUGGGGUGCUCGAGUGGCGAACGGGUGAGUAACACGUGAGUAACCUGCCCUUGACUUUGGGAUAACUUCAGGAAACUGGGGCUAAUACCGGCUAGGAGCUCCUGCUGCAUGGUGGGGGUUGGAAAGUUUCGGCGGUUGGGGAUGGACUCGCGGCUUAUCAGCUUGUUGGUGGGGUAGUGGCUUACCAAGGCUUUGACGGGUAGCCGGCCUGAGAGGGUGACCGGCCACAUUGGGACUGAGAUACGGCCCAGACUCCUACGGGAGGCAGCAGUGGGGAAUAUUGCACAAUGGGCGGAAGCCUGAUGCAGCAACGCCGCGUGCGGGAUGACGGCCUUCGGGUUGUAAACCGCUUUCGCCUGUGACGAAGCGUGAGUGACGGUAAUGGGUAAAGAAGCACCGGCUAACUACGUG
rnacentral:rRNA from 1 species